rnacentral:rRNA from 1 species
GCCAAGCCGUAAAUUAACUUACACCUACCAACGCCAGGGAAUUACGAGUUUCAACUUAAAACCCAAAGGACUUGACGGUAUCCCACCCCACUAGAGGAGCCUGUCCUAUAAUUGAUGAUCCCCAAUAUACCCUACCAUUUCUCGUUUAUCAGUCUGUAUACCGCCGUCGUAAGUUUACCGUGUGAACGCACAACAGUAAGCCCAAGGACUUCCCCCGCCACAACGUCAGGUCAAGGUGCAACUUAUGUAAUGGAAAGUGAUGGGCUACAAUUUCUAAUAUAGAACAUACGAAAAACUACAUGAAACAUAGUCAUGAAGGUGGAUUUAGUAGUAAAUAAGGAAUAGAGAGCCUUAUUAAACCCGGCCCUGGGAUGUGUACACACCGCCCGUCACC